AAAAAUAUUUUGGAGGGUAGUAUAUAUAACCCUUGCACAUUGUUUAAAAAAUACUCAAAUAUAUUAGUCAGCAGGUGAAAACAUAUAUAAUGGGUAAAUUCUACCUACACUACCUAUUUGUAAACAGUAACAACUGCAACUUAAAAAAAUAGUGUAACACAUACUCAAAAAUUACUGGACCCGCGUGCCUUUGUCCUCGAGGGAGUUGAGCUGCUGCGCUGCUGUUUUGAAGGUAAGAUGUUGCUGUGUUUGAGCGCUAAAUUUAAUGUAAGUGUAAACCCUUUGAACAAGAUUUGUAGUCUGUGUUGUGUACAAGUGAACAUUGCUGAGGCUUUGUAGGGCAAUUCAACUUGGGCACUGUUUGGUGUAUUUUGAUUAGACCAGUGAUUCUGACUCCCGGACCUGGAUUAGCUGCCAUUCCCCUGCAGAUUUCAGUGUUUCCCCUAAUUAGUAUGAGGUGAACACUGAUAGGAACACAAGCAGUGUAGUGGCAGGCUGUGACUGUCUGAACGCCACUGGACUGGACUCAGGAGGCACGUUUGUGAUUAUUUCCCUCGCGCGGGCUUCACAGUACUUACAGCCGAAUAUGGUGCCCACUAGCACAUUUAGCUGGUCUGGCCAAACUCUCACAUCGUUUCAACCUGAAGUGUUAACUGCAUAUCCUGGACUUCUCUGUGUGAAGGUCUUCAAGUCUUGGACUCUCUUUCCUGUGGGCCUUAUACCAGUUUUCACAAAAGAUAUAUGAACACAAAAUAUUUGUACUUUUGUGAAGAGGGUGUCUGACUAAACUCAGCACUUAUUGAAGACCCGAAACGGACUAAAAUGGGAG